GCCAGGCGUUGUGGCAGGCGCCUGUGGUCCCAGCUACUUGGGAGGCUGAGGCAGGAGACUCGCUUGAGCCCAGGAGUUGGAGGUUGCUGUGAGCGUGAUGCCAUGGCACUCUACCCAGGGGAAUAGCUUGAGGCUCUGUCUCAAAAAAAAAAAAAAAAAGAGACAGUCUCAGUAUGUCGCCCUCAGUAGAGUGCUAUGGUGUCAUAGCUCACAGUAACCUCAAACUCUUGGGCUUAAGCAGUUCUCUUGCCU
rnacentral:sRNA from 1 species